UACGAAGGGGGCUAGCGUUGUUCGGAAUCACUGGGCGUAAAGCGCACGCAGGCGGAUCGUUAAGUCAGGAGUGAAAUCCCGAGGCUCAACCUCGGAACUGCCUUUGAUACUGGCGAUCUUUGAGUCCGGGAGAGGUGAGUGGAACUCCGAGUGUAGAGGUGAAAUUCGUAGAUAUUCGGAAGAACACCAGUGGCGAAGGCGGCUCACUGGCCCGGUACUGACGCUCAGGUGCGAAAGCGUGGGGAGCAAACAGG
rnacentral:rRNA from 1 species